rnacentral:lncRNA from 1 species
ACGCCACAGAUUCCAACCAGUGAUAAUGAAAAAGCUGUUACCCGCCUCCAGAAGCUCUGGACGAUGUUGAAUAAGGUUUACUUUCUGAAAAGUGAGCUAGCUCUUUUUUGGAUCACUCGACUAUAUAUUUUUUACGGCUAUGCAUGCUUAUUUUUGGCGGAUCAUAAGAAAAAGAUAAAACAAGAAGAGAAAUGGUUCAAUGAAGGAGAAAUGUUUGUAUUAAUACAUAGUGUGCGUGUCUCAUUCUGGAUAUAAAUCAUCCUAAAUAAUACAGAAACAAUUGUGUAGGAUUGACGGAUGUUUAUAGCAGUUAGAGACAGUGAAUGAUCUGGCCGCUGAAUCAUUGAUGCACACAUGGAAGGAACCAUAUAAAGCCUUUCCUCUCCAGCUAUGUACCGAUUUAAGACAUCAAUACAUCUACAAAAAAAUGAAUGGGAGUCAUCAUGUCUGACAUCUAUCAUCGUGUUGUGAGUAUCCAGAUACGACUUAAAAUUGCGAGUGCUCCCAGCAAUAGUUCGUGAAAUGGGUCUCCAAGACUGAAUUGAGAAGGGCCGAUUUUAAUCCGGAUAGGAAUCUGUUGAUUCCAUGAACCAUGCUCUGAGUUGGAUCAAAAAAACCUGAUCAUGAUAUGGAGUGGGAUUGAGGUUAUCUGGGAAUGCUAUUCCCCUUAUAACGAGCCUUUCUUUGGCGGGCCCAAAUGGGCUUUUAUCUGUUUUUAUGAAAUCAUCCACUGUUGGAACAUAGUUCCUCACCCAUUCCUUACCCUCCCGCAUAGGACCAGCACUAAAGAGCUUAGAUGGUCUAAUGAUGUAAGAUGUACAUCAGGCGUUGACUCUUUCUACUGAAAAAAACCUUUGUCUGUUUUUAAAUCCUGAUAAAAAAGCCUGAUGGAUAUCUCCCAAAGAAUUUUGGUGGAAAUUAUUACCGCAAGAAUAGACAACAGUGCACAUCUCAACGUUCUAUUAAGUCAAGGUCCCAGUGAUAGCUAAUUUAAUCCAGAAAAUGCGUCUCAGUUCCCCACUUUAUUAACUCAACAAUUGUAAAUAUUUCCCAAGAGUUAUUGUAUGCAUUAGAUGAAGUCAGGUAGAUACUUCAUUUAUCGUGCAUAUUUAAAUCUAUUAUGGAGUUUCUAAGAGGAAUAGGGGUGGAUGGAACAUGUCUUUCUGAAUGUAAUAUGAUCACCUCCUCUAAUCUCACAAAGUGAUGUGGAUAUGUUUAUCCCAGUGGUUAAAUAUUUUUUCUAAUCUGUGGAUGCGAUUCAAUUUGUGUUGAAAGAGGUGCAAGAACGCGAUUGAUUGAACCCAUUAGUUAUCAUUUACGGAUGUUAUCUGUCUUUGAAACGCCAUGCCAUGCAUCUUUUUGUUCCAUUAAAAAUUUUAUAGUUUCCCUCAAGUCCAUAAUUUUUUUGUUUGUUUGUGCUUUACACUGUUCAGGUGGCCACUCUUGGUGAGGGCAUAACCCUAGACGCCCGUCUAGUAAGCAGGUAACUGGGUUUUCCUAGGUAAUAGUUUAGAAAUAUCUCUCUUAAACUUGUCUUUUGACAAUGUCGAUGUUACAUUUUCAGAAGAGAGGAAGCAAUACGUCAAAGAGAGGUAACAAUGGAACACUGAAAUUUUUGUAGGAUUUAUUUUUUGUUUGCAUGCUAGUCUAUUUGGUUACGUCGGAGGGCAGUAACUAUGGAAAACUGAACUUUUUCUAGGAUGAAUUUUGUUUCCCUGAUAAUAUAUUUGGUACAUCCUUGCGCAUUUCUCACAUGAUGAUGAAUUUUAUGAAGACUAAGAUACGCUAAAAGAUAAUCAUGUUCUGAUGAUUUUUCCUCUACCAAAAGCAUUAUGUUUUCAAUUAACUCUUUUUGAGUUACUACAAGGACUGAAUUGAAAAGCAUCCCUGUUAGUCAGAUGCUAUUGACCACAAUCUUCAACGUCUGUGCAUGCUCGUUUUGUUUCCUUGAUGGAGAGAUUCCAGCAGAUGUAUCUAAUCCUGGUGUGCCCUUCAACAUUCUGCUGAAGGAACAGGUCCUGCUGCUACAGUAGGAUUUUCUCUAGAUACUAUGUGCAAGCAGCUUGGAUCUCUUUUAGCCUGACAUUGGUUCUAGUUCAAAGAUGGCUGACCAGCAAAGUUUUCUUUUUUCCCUUCGUAGUUCUGGUUCUGUCCUGUGACAGGUUUAACGAUUUGGUGUGAGUUGACGGUUUUUGUUCACUUUUUUGUCGAAUUCACUACAAAGUAAAAACGACAUGACUUUUCAGUAUGUUUUUGUUUGUUUAGUUGCACGAAUAUGCUAAUUAAACAAAACGGGAAAUGUCUUUCUCAUACUUUAUGGGUAAGCUAAUGGCCGUCUUAAAAGUUGGUCGGAAAUCUUUUAUUUCCCGUUUUAUUUAGGCUUCAUAAUUGAAAUCCAGUCAUAAACCAGUAAAACUAAACAAAACUGGACCAUAUCUUUAUACUGAAAAUGUCACUUUCUCUGUUUUGUUAUGCUCAGAACCACCAACCCCUCUGCAAUGGAAUGCCACUUGAAAUGUCACUUGGAAGGAUUAUUACUUGCAAUUUUAACGGAUAUUAGUACUUUUUGUUGGGAGAGUAUAGAUAUGCGGAUAGGAGAUACGCAUUAGAGGUCUGUUGGGAGAGUAUAUAAAUUGGCAAAACCUGUGAUUUAUUAGAGUUCUGAUGAAAUUUUAAUGUACUAAAACUGAUGAAUCAUGCUUCUUUGAUUUGUUUGUAAAUGAAUUGAACGUUAAGUGAUCAAAAAGUUCCCAGUUAUUCAUUAAAAGCUUGCCGAAUUUUUGAAGUUACCUCUUUUUUGUUGAAAUUGUUCUCGUAGCAAAUUGUCUACAUAGGUAAAACUGUGUUGCUUCUCAGGCUGCUCUAAGAGUUCUCGAACAAAGUAUUGGAGGAAGAGAAGAUGAAAUGAUAUCCCUUCGAUUAGAAGCGGAGGUACGCAUGCCACCAGAGCAUAGUAUCUUUUAUCACUUAGUUUCUAAAAUCAGGCCAUUUUCUGUAUAGCUAGAUUUCUUAGAUUUCUUCUUUCAACCAACAGUCUGCGAGAGAAGAGGUUGCCAAUGCCAUGAAUCAACUCCGUGAAGCACAGUCUGAAGAAAAAGCUCUUCGGUCCAUGACUCAAAGAAUGAUAUUGACUCAGGAGGAAAUGGUACACCAUAAGUACUAAAGGGAAAUCUGUUACUUGCUUAGUUAGAAAAACCAAUGUCCGAGUUCUUUGGUUUUCAGGAGGAGGUUGUGCUCAAGAGGUGUUGGCUUGCUCGUUACUGGGGAUUAGCUGUUCGUCAUGGUAAUCUUCUCAUGGAUUUCGGUUUAUAAGAGUGCUGAUUGACCUCGUAAAAUAUGAAAAUCAUGCUUGUACGUCAUUUCAUGUUUUAGCUGAAGUAGGAAAAAUGAUUUAAAUUGUGGUCAGUGUCAUGAAUCAAGAAAUUAUAUCAUGUGAAUGACUCAUCUAAUAUCUCCAUCCUGUGAAGCUUAAUUUUUCACUGAAGUAGUCGAAAUAAGGCCAGGAUACAAUCGUAAUGAAAUUUUGGGCUCACAUGUGGUGACGCUACGUGUAGUGCAUAUAUACAUGUGAAUUAAAACAUGGAAACUCGUUAUUAUUCUUGAUCCAAAUCAUGAGACUCUACGGCUGACAAAAACCAUUUUUUUUUCUAAAUCCUUUCGCGAGUUAAUUUGCUUUAUGCUGCUAUUCUGGCAUCCUUGUUGGCCCACUGCCUACUGAAGGGAGCCAGAUCACCUACAGAUCUGUAUUAUGGUUAAUUUCCUUUUUCUCAUAACUGUGAUUUUAGGUAUCUAUCCUGAAAUAGCAGUGUGUAAAUAUGAACACUGGUCGUCAUUAGCUCCCCUUCCCUUUGAAGUAGUUAUUUCUGCCGGGCAAAAAGCAAAAGAAGAGUCUCAGGACCGCGGUCAGCUAUCUUUUCCUAGUCAUUUUACCUUUCCCCUCUUUCUUAUAGCUUGUAUUUUAGAAGGAUUUUUACUUUUUUUUUUCGUUUUUUUGUCUUACAGUUAGCGAUUCUGAGAAAAAAUACAAGAUUGCUCGUAAUUUGACUGAUAUAACUGGAGAAAGCAGUAUAGAGAGUAUGCUUUCAGUGGAAAUGGGUCUAAGAGAAUUGUAUUCACUCAAGGUUCCUUUUCGUUUACAUUCCCUAGUUCAUUUCGUUCAUUUUCAUUUGUGGUUAUCUCUUCUACUCAUAAUAUCAGAUUUUAUAUCUAGUUUAUAGGGACUAUCAUUUGUUUCUGAAGAUUAAUAAAGCCGCAAUUUUCUCUCAUUUUAUUUUGCUCGUGUUUCCAUCAUGCUGUUGGCGUUUGAUUACUUCGCAUUUGGUUUUUGAAGGUUGAAGACGCCGUUGUACUUGCAUUAGCCCAGCACCGGCGUCCCAAUUUAUCACGUCAAUUAACUUCAGGUUCUUACUAUGCUUAUUAUUCUCGGAUAGUACUCCUCGAUAAUUGAACCUGUUGGGUCUCGUUCACUCAAGCUCUUUCUCUUUAUCGUCACUUACAAAUAGUCCCGUCAAAUACCCUUUUUUUAUCUCCUGUUCCGGGCAUUGCAUCUUUUCGUAAAGGAGCAAUUUUGCAUGCUAUACUCCAGCCAUCCCUGUCUCCUGGUUAACUUUUUGAUCCCCUUAUUAGAUAUUACUUACACUUCCGAUGUUUUUUUCUUUUUUUCAGAUCUCAAGUCAUCUGGUGAUGCCAAGAUCUUGGAGUCGUUGGGUAAUGAUAUGCUGUCAUGCUUAAUACAUUAUAGCGGUUAUUUUCUCAUGGCUAGAAAAGAUGAGCUGCUCUUUUAUCCAGAUCGCUUUGUAGCUUGCUGUUCUAGAGAGAUCAACCUGUUCUUCGCUGUUUGAUUUAUAUUUUGGAUAAUUUUGAGACAAGCCUUUCAGUUUCUGCCCCCCCUCCCGCAUUCUCUGAGGUUUGAGUGAACUGGCGCUUUCAUACAGAAUUGAGCCAAGAGGAAGCAGAAGACGUCUUAUUCAAGCAGGUAUGAUCUUAGUUCUCAGAUAGUCUUGUCCGGAUACCGCCUUAAACUUCGAUUCAUUGCUAAUCUGAACUCCCACAUUACGAUAUUAUUCCUGUUUGAUUUCCAUUUCGGUCACUUCCAUUAGCCUCUCAUCAAGCCCGGGUAUAUUUCACCACCAUGAAUCCCUCUGAAUCCCUACCAUGGCAAUAUUUUUGCGACUGCGACAGCUUGAUCUACCUGAGUCAGUAAAAUUAUAUAUGAUAUUUGUAAUAAUUUUUAAAAGAAGAAGAAAAAGAAGUAUUUUCUAAAAUGUUUAUGUUUUCAUUCAAAGUUAAAUAUUCCAUCUGAUCAAAAAACGAUGACCCAAUUAAUAAAUUCUGGUUUUCAACAAAU